rnacentral:rRNA from 1 species
CUCGAGCGGCGAACGGGUGAGUAACACGUGAGUAACCUGCCCCCGACUCUGGGAUAAGCCCGGGAAACUGGGUCUAAUACCGGAUACGACCACUUCCCGCAUGGGAUGGUGGUGGAAAGUCUUUUCGGUUGGGGAUGGACUCGCGGCCUAUCAGCUUGUUGGUGGGGUAACGGCCUACCAAGGCGACGACGGGUAGCCGGCCUGAGAGGGCGACCGGCCACACUGGGACUGAGACACGGCCCAGACUCCUACGGGAGGCAGCAGUGGGGAAUAUUGCGCAAUGGGCGAAAGCCUGACGCAGCGACGCCGCGUGGGGGAUGACGGCCUUCGGGUUGUAAACCUCUUUCAGCAGGGACGAAGUUGACGUGUACCUGCAGAAGAAGCGCCGGCUAACUACGUGCCAGCAGCCGCGGUAAUACGUAGGGCGCAAGCGUUGUCCGGAAUUAUUGGGCGUAAAGAGCUCGUAGGUGGCUUGUCACGUCGGGUGUGAAAGCUUGGGGCUUAACUCCAGGUCUGCAUUCGAUACGGGCUGGCUAGAGGUAGGUAGGGGAGAACGGAAUUCCUGGUGUAGCGGUGAAAUGCGCAGAUAUCAGGAGGAACACCGGUGGCGAAGGCGGUUCUCUGGGCCUUACCUGACGCUGAGGAGCGAAAGCGUGGGGAGCGAACAGGAUUAGAUACCCUGGUAGUCCACGCUGUAAACGUUG